AAGUCGUAACAAGGUUUCCGUAGGUGAACCUGCGGAAGGAUCAUUAAAGAGUGGGCUUCGGCCUUUUUCGUUAUCAACCAUGUGAACUGUUCUUGAUUUGGGUGGGACGUGCGCAAAUACCUCGGCUCACGAGUGUGCCCGCCCAAGGUUUUUAUACUUUUAUGUGAUGAAUGUCUUUUACAAAAAUUAAAAGAAAA
rnacentral:misc_RNA from 1 species